rnacentral:rRNA from 1 species
UACAGAGGUGGCAAGCGUUGUUCGGUAUCACUGGGCUUAAAGGGCGCGUAGGCGGCAUGGCACGGUCCGGGUGAAAUCCCUCGGCUUAACCGAGGAACUGCCCGGGCUACGGCCAAGCUAGACGGCAUCAGGGGAAGGUGGAACUCCCGGUGGAGCGGUGAAAUGUGUAGAUAUCGGGAGGAACGCCGGUGGCGAAAGCGACCUUCUGGGGUGUCCGUGACGCUGAGGCGCGAAAGCUAGGGGAGCAAACGGGAUUAGAUACCCCGGUAGUCCUAGCCCUAAACGAUGUGCACUAGGUAGCGGGAUCCUCCGAGUUCCCGCUGCCGGAGCAAAAGUUUUAAGUGCACCGCCUGGGGAGUACGGUCGCAAGGCUAAAACUCAAAGGAAUUGACGGGGGCUCACACAAGCGGUGGAGGAUGUUGCUUAAUUCGAAGCAACGCGAAGAACCUUACCAGGGCUUGACAUAGUGGUAGUACGAACCUGAAAGGGUGAGGACCUUGCUUUGCAAGGAGCCAUUACAGGUGUUGCAUGGCUGUCGUCAGCUCGUGCCGUGAGGUGUUGGGUUAAGUCCCGUAACGAGCGAAACCCCUGCUACUAGUUGCCAGCGAGUUAUGUCGGGGACUCUAGUGGGACUGCCGGUGC